UACGAAGGGGGCUAGCGUUGCUCGGAAUUACUGGGCGUAAAGCGCACGUAGGCGUCUUCUUAAGUCGGUGGUGAAAUCCUGGAGCUCAACUCCAGAACUGCCUUCGAUACUGGGAAGCUCGAGUCCGGGAGAGGUGAGUGGAACUGCGAGUGUAGAGGUGAAAUUCGUAGAUAUUCGCAAGAACACCAGUGGCGAAGGCGGCUCACUGGCCCGGUACUGACGCUGAGGUGCGAAAGCGUGGGGAGCAAACAGG
rnacentral:rRNA from 1 species